GUAUGCCAAGGGCAGUGAUGACCUGCAGGCACUUUGUACACCUGGUCCUUGUACAGUGCGUUGUAAGACUACUCAAGUGCUUGAGGAGCAGUGUUAAAACUAAAGAAGAUAUGCUGUAAAAACUCUUGGCCAAUAAAAAGAGCAAGAUGGAAUGUGAA